GAUGAACGCUAGCGGCAGGCCUAACACAUGCAAGUCGAGGGGUAUUGAGUUGCUUGCAACUUGAGAGACCGGCGCACGGGUGCGUAACGCGUAUGGAAUCUACCCUUAUCAUUGGGAUAGCCCUUGGAAACGAGGAUUAAUACCGGAUGUGGUAUAGAGUUGGCAUCGGCUUUAUAUUAAAGAUUUAUCGGAUAAGGAUGAUCAUGCGUAACAUUAGCUAGUUGGUGAGGUAAAGGCUCACCAAGGCUUUGAUGUUUAGGGGUUCUGAGAGGAAGGUCCCCCACACUGGUACUGAGACACGGACCAG
rnacentral:rRNA from 1 species